GACGAACGCUGGCGGCGUGCCUAAUACAUGCAAGUCGAGCGGACAGAAGGGAGCUUGCUCCCGGAAGUUAGCGGCGGACGGGUGAGUAACACGUAGGUAACCUGCCCCUUAGACUGGGAUAACUCCGGGAAACCGGAGCUAAUACGGGAUAAUAAAGAGAAUCGCCUGAUUUUCUUUUGAAAGACGGUUUCGGCUGUCACUAAGGGAUGGACCUGCGGCGCAUUAGCUAGUUGGUAAGGUAACGGCUUACCAAGGCGACGAUGCGUAGCCGACCUGAGAGGGUGAUCGGCCACACUGGGACUGAGACACGGCCCAGACUCCUACGGGAGGCAGCAGUAGGGAAUCUUCCGCAAUGGACGAAAGUCUGACGGAGCAACGCCGCGUGAGUGAGGAAGGCCUUCGGGUCGUAAAGCUCUGUUGUGAGGGAAGAACAAGUGCCGGGGUAACUACCGGCACCUUGACGGUACCUCACCAGAAAGCCACGGCUAACUACGUGCCAGCCGCCGCCGUAAAAC
rnacentral:rRNA from 1 species